rnacentral:rRNA from 1 species
UACAGAGGGUGCAAGCGUUGUUCGGAAUUAUUGGGCGUAAAGGGUGCGUAGGCGGUGCGGUAAGUCUGUAGUGAAAUCUCUGGGCUCAACUCAGAGUCUGCUAUAGAAACUGCCGUGCUUGAGUGUGGGAGAGGUGAGUGGAAUUCCCGGUGUAGCAGUGAAAUGCGUAGAGAUCGGGAGGAACACCAGUGGCGAAGGCGGCCUUCUGGACCAAUACUGACGCUCAUGCACGAAAGCGUGGGGAGCAAACAGG